rnacentral:misc_RNA from 1 species
GAUGAAGAACGUAGCGAAAUGCGAUACGUAAUGUGAAUUGCAAAUUCAGUGAAUCAUCGAGUCUUUGAACGCACAUUGCGCCCCCUGGUAUUCCGGGGGGCAUGCCUGUCCGAGCGUCAUUGCUGCCCUCAAGCACGGCUUGUGUGUUGGGCCCCGUCCUCCGAUCCCGGGGGACGGGCCCGAAAGGCAGCGGCGGCACCGCGUCCGGUCCUCGAGCGUAUGGGGCUUUGUCACCCGCUCUGUAGGCCCGGCCGGCGCUUGCCGAUCAACCCAAAUUUUUAUCCAGGUUGACCUCGGAUCAGGUAGGGAUACCCGCUGAACUUAAGCAUAUCAAUAAGGGGGA